rnacentral:rRNA from 1 species
GACGAACGCUGGCGGCGUGCUUAACACAUGCAAGUCGAACGGAAAGGCCCUGCUUUUGUGGGGUGCUCGAGUGGCGAACGGGUGAGUAACACGUGAGUAACCUGCCCUUGACUUUGUGAUAACUUCAGGAAACUGGGGCUAAUACCGGAUAGGAGCUCCUGCUGCAUGGUGGGGGUUGGAAAGUUUCGGCGGUUGGGGAUGGACUCGCGGCUUAUCAGCUUGUUGGUGGGGUAGUGGCUUACCAAGGCUUUGACGGGUAGCCGGCCUGGGAGGGUGACCAGCCACCUUGGGCCUGCGGUACGGACCAGACUCCUACGGGAGGCAGCAGUGGGGAAUCUUACACAAUGGGCGGAAGUCUGAUGCAGAAACGUCGCGUGCGGGAUGCCGGCUUUCGGGUUGUAAACCGCUUUCGCCUGUGACGAAGCGUGAGUGACGGUAAUGGGUAAAGAAGCACCGGCUAACUACGUG